rnacentral:lncRNA from 1 species
CUGAACAUAGAGUCAAAUAGCCAAUCAUUUACUGCACAGAAAAAAGCAUAAGCUGAAAAAUAUUAACAUUUAAAAAAUGACAAAUUUACAUAUUAUGCAAAAGUCGAAGCCACUGUGUCCGUAAGAUACACUAAACUUGGUCUCUAGGUAAAGAAAAUAAGAAGUGAAACAGUAAUAGAAAUAAGACUUUGAAGCAAAUCUAUCAAUCACUCACAAUUUGUAGUAUUCAGGCAAAAACAAGUAGCACCUUGCUUCAUCUUUAAGAGCCAUAUUUGCACCCAUUUGCAAUUUCUCUACCUCAUCAAGUACAAAGUACUCAUUCUUCUCAACUGGCCAGUACAUGUAAAAUUGAAUUUCAAAGGAAGCAUAUAAAAAUUUUAAAGGUAAGAACUUACCAUUAUCACAGAGGUUGCCCAGUCUUUAUGAAUCUCAUCAAGCUAAGCUUGAGAUUAUUUACCGACACCCUUAAACUAUUAAUAUAAACAAACAAACACGCGACAUAUAUAGAGGAUAGUUGGGGAGAAUGAUGCAUAAGCCUCAAGGCGCUUGACAACCGUAUAUAAAGGUAUAGCUUUUUGUUAUUAGACACUAAAUUUUAAUCAGAUGCAGCAACGGACAGGGAAAACUUACAGUUUAGAAUCCUCCCUAUAGUGCAUAAUAAAACAAGAAAACCUUGUUUAUUAGUAUCUUAUAUGAGCUUCUGACACUUUUUUNCAUUGUGCAUGGAAAUCUCAACCUUUGAUACAUGUUAAUAGUUAACCAAACCAACAUAAUUUUAUCAUAACAGCCAAGCAAACACUUAAUCUAUCAUAACAACAAACAACCCUCACCCUCAUUGUCAAAUUGAUAAAAAAAAAUACUUCCUAUACUAGCAAUAGAUGAGCCUCUUAAGACGCUAACUUGCAUUAGCAUUCAAUUACAACUGCAUAAACAAAGGGUUUAUGCCAACUUACGACAUCAGAAUGCUGAAUACCUUCUCAUUGCAACAUCAGCAUAGGCAUGCCAAAAAAAAUGAAGAAAAGAGGUCAAGAACAAAGAGACUUUGGCUGAUUUGGAAUCUCUUAAGAAAGCAUUACAGCUCAAGAAAGUCUUUCCAAAAUCAUGUUUAGAGCAAGACGAGCCACUACACCAAUGGACUGGAAACGUCCUUAAAUCCACCAGGCUGGCGCGUUACAUAACAAACAGAAAUGAAGUCAUGUUUUUAUCUUUAGCCUUAUGGCAUUACCUGAACCUUGACGUCGUGAGGGGAACUCUCUCUAUAUCGUCUUCUUGAAGGAAAUCAGAAUGCUGGAACGGAAGGCAGCGACAAUGGCGUCGCGUCGGCAUCGGCGACCCCGGAAGAAAGCGGCAUCAGCUUUGGCGCUAGAGCAGCAUAUAAAGGGUGGAGAGUAGAGAUCCGACAAGAGGAAUAAAAGCGUCAGCCGGCGGCGACGGUGGAGCGGAGCCUCGAAGGUGAAUGGAGAAGGA